rnacentral:rRNA from 1 species
GUGAACCUGCGGAAGGAUCAUUAACAAAUCGAAACGGGGGUGGGCUGUCGCUGGCCUUCAGGGGCAUGUGCACGCCCGCCCUCGAAUCCAAUCUUAAACCUGUGAACCCACGGCGGAGGGCUCGGUCCGUAAGGGCUUGAGCCUUCCUGCUCCUACACACCCUCGUAUGUUCAGAAUGUCACUUUGCGUUUUUGCGCAUCCAUAUACAACUUUCAGCAACGGAUCUCUUGGCUCUCGCAUCGAUGAAGAACGCAGCGAAAUGCGAUAAGUAAUGUGAAUUGCAGAAUUCAGUGAAUCAUCGAAUCUUUGAACGCACCUUGCACGCUCCGGUAUUCCGGAGCGUAUGCCUGUUUGAGUGUCGUGGUAUCAUCAACCCCACCGGCUUGACUGACGGUGGUGGCUUGGAUCUGGAGGUGCUGCUGGCUGCUUUGGCAACCGGCUCCUCUGAAAUACAUCAGCUGGGACGUUCCGUCCGAGGGCUUUGACGUGAUAGUGAUGUUGCGUCGCUGACCGAGGACCUCUAGUCGCCGCUUCUAACCGUCCGCGAGGACAAGUGACUACAUCGACCUUUGACCUCAAAUCAGGUAGGAUUACCCGCUGAACUUAAGCAUAUCA